rnacentral:rRNA from 1 species
UACGAGGGGUGCGAGCGUUGCUCGGAAUUAUUGGGCGUAAAGGGUAGGUAGGUGGUUUCGUUUGUCUGGGGUGAAAGCCUUGAGCUUAACUCAAGAAGUGCCCCGGAAACGGCGAAACUCGAGUACUGGAGAGGGUCGUGGAAUUCCCGGUGUAGCGGUGAAAUGCGUAGAGAUCGGGAGGAACACCAGAGGCGAAGGCGGCGACCUGGACAGUUACUGACACUCAACUACGAAAGCGUGGGGAGCAAACAGG